rnacentral:rRNA from 1 species
GAAUCUUUGAACGCACAUUGCGCCCUCUGGUAUUCCGGGGGGCAUGCCUGUUCGAGCGUCAUUUCAACCCCUCAAGCCCGGCUUGUGUGAUGGACGACCGUCCGACCGCCUUUGCAUCCCCCGUUCCACCGGGAGAGGAGAAAGGUGGAGGGGACGCGCCCGAAAAGCAGUGGCCAGGCCGCGAUUCCGGGCCCCUGGGCGAAUGGGCAACAAAACCAGCGCCUUCANGACCGGCCGGCUCUCUGGCCCUAGUUUCCGUCGGGAGGACGAAAGGGGGCGACCCCUCUCUCCCCUCCGCAU